GAGGCUUCCAGGCACUUCUUCCCGGCCCUGGCUGACUUUCAGGAAAAGCAUCCCACCCAUCCUCUUACCCAACUCUUUCAGGACGUGCAGACCCUCCCUGGAAUUACACCCACCUGGAAGAUGUGGUGUAAUCAAGCACGAAAGGCCUUGGAGAAGCCAGAGAAGGCAGUGGGUGUGCCUGAGGUCCCAGUCCUGGGUGCUCCACCAUCCCCAUGUGACACUUGGUAUGUACUACUGCAUGUGCAGAUGAGGAAACAGAGGUGAAGCAGCCUUCUCGAGGUCACGCCACCAAUAAAUGAGUGCGAAACUAGAAGCCAGACUGGUGCCUAAAAUCCAAGUGCAACAACUGCAGUGAGCAUGAAUUCAAAAACAGAAGCAAGGGGC